UAGGGAAUCUUCGGCAAUGGACGAAAGUCUGACCGAGCAACGCCGCGUGAGUGAAGAAGGUUUUCGGAUUGUAAAACUCUGUUGUUAGAGAAGAACAAGGACGUUAGUAACUGAACGUCCCCUGACGGUAUCUAACCAGAAAGCCACGGCUAACUACGUGCCAGCAGCCGCGGUAAUACGUAGGUGGCAAGCGUUGUCCGGAUUUAUUGGGCGUAAAGCGAGCGCAGGCGGUUUCUUAAGUCUGAUGUGAAAGCCCUCGGCUCAACCGGGUAGGGUCAUUGGAAACUGGGAGACUUGAGUGCAGAAGAGGAGAGUGGAAUUCCAUGUGUAGCGGUGAAAUGCGUAGAUAUAUGGAGGAACACCAGUGGCGAAGGCGGCUCUCUGGUCUGUAACUGACGCUGAGGCUCGAAAGCGUGGGGAGCAAACAGG
rnacentral:rRNA from 1 species